AGUGUGGAGAUGGGUGGGGAAAGCUACAUGGUCAUUCCUGUCGCAUCGGUACUCUGAUGUCUAACGAUACUGGAGUUUACUGGUGUGAGUCCAGUAAUGGUACCAUCAGUAACCUGGUUAAUAUCACAGUCACUGGUAAAGCCGGCUCAGGCGUGCUGCAUUCGUGCUACCUGCUGGUGUUCUGUCCGUACUUCAUCUCCACUCUUCUUAUGGUGUCUUUGCAUUGACACAGAGCCACAGGAAGUGACCUGUCUACCCA